AGCGAACGCUGGCGGCAGGCUCAACACAUGCAAGUCGAGCGGGCAUCCUUGUGGUGUCAGCGGCAGACGGGUGAGUAACGCGUGGGAACGUGCCCUUCGGUUCGGAAUAACUCAGGGAAACUUGAGCUAAUACCGGAUACGUGCGAGAGCAGAAAGGUUUAUCUGCCGAAGGAUCGGCCCGCGUCUGAUUAGCUAGUUGGUGAGGUUAUGGCUCACCAAGGCGACGAUCAGUAGCUGGUCUGAGAGGAUGAUCAGCCACACUGGGACUGAGACACGGCCCAGACUCCUACGGGAGGCAGCAGUGGGGAAUAUUGGACAAUGGGGGCAACCCUGAUCCAGCCAUGCCGCGUGAGUGAUGACGGCCUUAGGGUUGUAAAGCUCUUUUCUCCGGGACGAUAAUGACGGUACCGGAGGAAUAAGCCCCGGCUAACUUCGUG
rnacentral:rRNA from 1 species